rnacentral:rRNA from 1 species
GAUGAACGCUAGCUACAGGCUUAACACAUGCAAGUCGAGGGGCAGCAUUUCAUUUUGCUUGCAAAGUGAAGAUGGCGACCGGCGCACGGGUGAGUAACACGUAUCCAACCUGCCGAUAACUCGGGGAUAGCCUUUCGAAAGAAAGAUUAAUAUCCGAUAGCAUAUCAAUCGCGCAUGAGAUUGAUAUUAAAGAAUUUCGGUUAUCGAUGGGGAUGCGUUCCAUUAGUUUGUUGGCGGGGUAACGGCCCACCAAGACUACGAUGGAUAGGGGUUCUGAGAGGAAGGUCCCCCACAUUGGAACUGAGACACGGUCCAAACUCCUACGGGAGGCAGCAGUGAGGAAUAUUGGUCAAUGGGCGAGAGCCUGAACCAGCCAAGUAGCGUGAAGGAUGAAGGCUCUAUGGGUCGUAAACUUCUUUUAUAUGGGAAUAAAGUUUUCCACGUGUGGAAUUUUGUAUGUACCAUAUGAAUAAGGAUCGGCUAACUCCGUG